rnacentral:rRNA from 1 species
UACGAAGGGGGCUAGCGUUGCUCGGAAUCACUGGGCGUAAAGCGCACGUAGGCGGACUCUUAAGUCAGGGGUGAAAUCCUGGAGCUCAACUCCAGAACUGCCCUUGAUACUGGGAGCCUUGAGUUCGGGAGAGGUGAGUGGAACUGCGAGUGUAGAGGUGAAAUUCGUAGAUAUUCGCAAGAACACCAGUGGCGAAGGCGGCUCACUGGCUCGGUACUGACGCUGAGGUGCGAAAGCGUGGGGAGCAAACAGG